ACAUUAAUUCAAACAAUUUUCUAUUAAAUUUUUAUUACAUUUUGGAAUUUUAUUUUAUUUACUUUUCAAAUUACAACUUCUGUUGUCCAUUAUAUAAUUCGUUUGAUCAAUAUUUCAAGUACAAUAAUACCGUAUUCAAAUUAAUUUAGUCUAUUGAUGUUGCACACACUGCUAUACCGACGAAUUCAGGGUGAUAAGCCAGCGUGUAUGAACACAUAAGUUGGCGUAAACAUAGAAUGUUUGUUUCCCUUUGCUAGAUGGCACUGUACAGAUAAUCGAACAUUCGAUUGAACAAUAUUCCACUGCAUCGUAAACGUGGUUCUUGAACUUGCCUCCUACGCACGAUAUAAUUGUUCACACAGUGAAAUAUCAUUAUAAAAAAUAUUCAUAAUAUCAAAAGAAAAUUAUUUUUCGUUUAAAGUUCAAGAAUGAACGACGACAUAUAUAUUUCCAAGAAUCUUCCGUAAACAUUCCCAUAAUAAUCAUGACUGUAGUUAAACGUAUCAUCGCUUAGGCCGCGAUGUACUUAAUCGUUCAAACGGGGAAGGAGGAAAAAAAGGAGGAGCGAAUUAUCCGAGCCAAUGCAUCUUUCGCGUUACCAUAUGCAAUAUACUUUUCGUUGGCGUCGAUUUAUCGCGAUGCGUCGGUUACUUUGCAACUGAAAUCAAUUGUGUUCUGUAAAGAUGCCAAUAUCAACAAGACUUGCAACCAAGUGUCACUUCUCGUGUAUCUAAACGAUGGAAAUUAUUUGCACAGAACUUUUUAUUUAAUCAUUCGUGAUAUAAUAAUAAUAAUAAAAAAAAAAUACUACAGCAAUAUAUCGACUUUCUGUCAAAUUACAAUUAACGUUAUCCCGCAAUGCAUAUUAUAGAAUGAGAAAUGGAAUGGUGUUAGUUAAAAAGCAUGGUGGUAAAGUUCUAUUUAUGCGGGGAAAAGAGUGUCGAUCAGACAAUGACCUCGAUAACGACAUGUUUCUAAAGGAGUAAGCCAGCAGGAGACAAUGGAUAUAUAAUAUCGCCUAUAAUUAGCCUCGUUAAAGCUGUCUCUAAUAAUAAGCAAAGCAGCCAGAUGCAAAACCGUGAGCUACGAUAAUCUGUCUUGCAUGUGCGAUUUGAGAAUAUUACUGUACACAAUCCGCGGAGAGACUGCUCGCCAGAUAAAGCCUUUUAUGAUGAUGCUCAUUAUGCCUGGAGGCUGAACGGCAAACGGAAUUCCCUUAUCAAGCCGUGUUUGUUUAACCCUUUGCAUACG